CCUUCAUAGCUACUAUCGCUAUAAAUUCUACAGCCAGAGACUUCAAUGCCCUCACUCUCCCUCUCCCUCUCCCUCGAGAACCACUAAACAACAAUUUCAAUUCCUCACUCUCCUUGUUAUUGAGACCAUAGCAACUCGACCUUAGUCAUAUUCCUUGGUCAGGUUUCUUAUCAAGGUGGUUAGGAUGCUAUUAAGAUUAUAGAAAGUUUGCCUUUGAGGGUGAACAUGGAUAGGAAUUCGGGAUGAACAAGUUGAGAAGGAAUAAAGUUUUAUUAUUUGUUAUUUUGAGGAAAAUAUUAUUGUAUAGUAAUUUCAGUUUUAAGUAUUUA